UGGGAAUGUUUUACCUCCUUCAUAUUCAGGGAUGGUAGCAAUGACAACCACUAGCAAGAACUGAGGUUUGUUUUGUGCACGGCAGCACGGCUUGCUUUUUGGUGCUGAACAUCUGCCUCUCUUGUUUUCCAGGACACUGGAGUAUCUCAUGAGGCACUUGCUGUCUCUGGCCAGGAACUGCUCUAUCACCAACAUGCAUGCUAAGAAUUUAGCAAUUGUGUGGGCUCCAAACCUCUUAAGGUAAACUUCUUUUUCCGUUUCAACACGAUGCUUAGUUCUGCUCUCCCCCAACCCCAGGGGCACAAUUUCUAGAUGACAGUUUCUGCUCUCAUGUUUAGAUGGGUCUGUUGUCCCCCUGAUCAUCCAGGAGAAUUUUGUCAGUGGCAUCGCUGUUUGCCCACUGCGGAAGUCUCCAGAGCCCAACUUGACAGUUUUUGGCUACAGAAAUUCAGACUUGGGGAAAUGAUCUUGGGGAAAUGACUUGUAAGAUCUGCCUUUUCUUCAGCGGAGCCAGUCUGUGACCACCAGUGGAGAAGCUGCCUGCAUGGAGCUGCAGACACAGACAGCUGUUGUGGAACUCCUCAUAAGCCACGCAGAUGUUCUCUUCGGCUCCAAAUCCACACCAGCCAAGGGAGAGGGAGCAGGGCACAGUUCUCUGUCGGGGUCCAAGUCUGCGUGGGAGUCUCCUACUGUCACACAACUGCUCACCCUGCAGGAGGCACAGGCUCGGAGAAGAGGCCAGAGCAGCUCUCCUGCUGUGGCACAGAACUGCGAUGACAUUGAGGUGGAGGAAGGCCCCGCAGCGGUACUGGGAAGGUUCCACACAGUCAUCAAUUUUUCAUCUGAAAGGUAAAGAGGAAUUCCCUUUUCUGCCCCUAUCAUCAUUGGUCGGGUGGGUUUUAUCGGUUUAAUUUUUCUCCAUUAUAUCUCCGAGGACUCAACAAACAUACAGUUGCCCGAGGGGGUCAACGGAGCCACACAAGGGUUCCUUUCCUUCCUGGUUGGGCAGGCAGUCACGAGAUGCAGACAGCCACUCUGACGUCUUUCCUGGCCUGUGCUGGCUGUAUCAGAAAGCACUGGGGAUUUCCAGAUUUCCAGGCCGCGUGCCUGAAAUCAAUUGCAUUUCUCCUGUAAGCAGACCUGUUGGUCGGAGUUGCUGGCAUUAGAAAUUAAAGAUGGCAGUGAGCUGAGGCCGAGGAGUUAUUAGCGUUAAGAGUCAGA
rnacentral:lncRNA from 1 species